AGAGCGAACGCUGGCGGCAGGCUUAACACAUGCAAGUCGAGCGCCGUAGCAAUACGGAGCGGCAGACGGGAGAGUAACACGUGGGAACGUACCCUUCGGUUCGGAAUAACUCAGGGAAACUUGGGCUAAUACCGGAUACGUCCGAAAGGAGAAAGAUUUAUCGCCGAGGGAUCGGCCCGCGUCCGAUUAGCUAGUUGGUGUGGUAAUGGCUCACCAAGGCUACGAUCGGUAGCUGGUCUGAGAGGAUGAUCAGCCUCACUGGGACUGAGACACGGCCCAGACUCCUACGGGAGGCAGCAGUGGGGAAUAUUGGACAAUGGGCGCAAGCCUGAUCCAGCCAUGCCGCGUGGGUGAUGAAGGCCUUCGGGUCGUAAAGCCCUUUCAGCGGGGAAGAUAAUGACGGUACCCGCAGAAGAAGCCCCGGCUAACUUCGCGCCAGCAGCCGC
rnacentral:rRNA from 1 species